GACGAACGCUGGCGGCGUGCCUAAUACAUGCAAGUCGAACGAGUGGCGGACGGGUGAGUAUUGUCUGGGAAACUGCCCGAUGGAGGGGGAUAACUACUGGAAACGGUAGCUAAUACCGCAUACCCUCGGAUGUGCCCAGAUGGGAUUAGCUAGUGGGUGGGGUAACGGCUCACCUAGGCGACGAUCCCUAGCUGGUCUGAGAGGAUGACCAGCCACACGGGAACUGAGACACGGUCCGGACUCCGACGGGAGGCAGCAGUGGGGAAUAUUGCACAAUGGGCGCAAGCCUGAUGCAGCCAUGCCGCGUGUAUGAAGAAGGCAUUCGGGUUGUAAAGUACUUUCAGCGAGGAGGCGUUACUCGCAGAAGAAGCACCGGCUAACUCCGUGCCAGCAGCCGCGUUAAUUC
rnacentral:rRNA from 1 species